rnacentral:rRNA from 1 species
UACGAGGGGGGCGAGCGUUGUUCGGAAUUAUUGGGCGUAAAGGGUGCGUAGGCGGUUCCGCAAGUCCUGUGUGAAAUCUUCGGGCUCAACUCGAAGUCUGCACGGGAAACUGCGGGGCUUGAGUGUGGGAGAGGUGAGUGGAAUUCCCGGUGUAGCGGUGGAAUGCGCAGAUAUCAGGAGGAACACCGGUGGCGAAGGCGGGUCUCUGGGCCGUUACUGACGCUGAGGAGCGAAAGCGUGGGGAGCGAACAGG